GACGAACGCUGGCGGCGUGCUUAACACAUGCAAGUCGAGCGGAAAGGCCCACUUGUGGGUACUCGAGCGGCGAACGGGUGAGUAUCACGUGAGUAAUCUGCCCUUCACUUCGGGAUAGCCUUGGGAAACUGAGAUUAAUACCGGAUAUGAUUUCUGCCUGCAUGGGUGGGGGUUGAAAGUUUUUUCGGUGGAGGAUGUGCUCGCGGCCUAUCAGCUUGAUGGUGGGGUAAUGGCCUACCAUGGCUUUGACGGGUAGCCGGCCUGAGAGGGUGUUCGGCCACACUGGGACUGAGACACGGCCCAGACUCCUACGGGAGGCAGCAGUGGGGAAUAUUGGACAAUGGGCGGAAGCCUGAUCCAGCAACGCCGCGUGAGGGAUGACGGCCUUCGGUUGUAAACCGUCUUUCUAGUAGGGACGAAGUGUAGACGGUACCGUACAGAAGAAGACACCGGCCAACUACGUAGCCAGCAGCCGCGGUAAGUGAGUAGUACA
rnacentral:rRNA from 1 species